rnacentral:rRNA from 1 species
CAAUAGCGUAUAUUUAAGUUGUUGCAGUUAAAAAGCUCGUAGUUGGAUUUCUGGACGGAGCAGCCGGUCCGCCGCUGUGCGGUGUGUACUCGUGCUUGACUCGGUUCAUCCUUGUGGGGAAGCGCAUUUCGGCAUUCAGUUGUCGAGGCGGGGAACCACAUCAUUUACUGUGAAAAAAUUAGAGUGUUUAAAGCAGGCAUUUUGCUGUGAAUACAUUAGCAUGGAAUAAUAACAUAGGACUUUGAUUCUAUUUUGUUGGUUGGAGAUCAAGGUAAUGAUUAAUAGGGAUAGUUGGGGGUAUUCAUAUUUAAUUGUCAGAGGUGAAAUUCUUGGAUUUAUGAAAGAUGAACUCAUGCGAAAGCAUUUACCAAGGAUGUUUNCAUUAA